UCAGCGAGAUCUAAAGGCUGGAGUCCUUUAUCUAAACAGGUACAGUGUGAUCGUUGACAGUGCAAGCUUCCCUGUGCUGCCCUGCCACUGUGCCUCAACUUGGAGAAAACUGCUUCUGGAGGUGAGGGGAAGGUAGUUCAGCCUCCAUGCCCAUUUAGCCCUUGGCCUCU
rnacentral:sRNA from 1 species